rnacentral:misc_RNA from 1 species
GAUGGAAGAACGUAGCGAAAUGCGAUACGUAAUGUGAAUUGCAGAAUUCAGUGAAUCAUCGAAUCUUUGAACGCAUAUUGCGCUCUUUGGUAUUCCGAAGAGCAUGCUUGUUUGAGUAUCAGUAAACACCUCAAAGCUUUUGGAUUUUUUAAUCGAAAAGCUUUGGACUUGAGCAAUCCCAACACCAAUCUUUUUGAGAUCGGUGGCGGGUUGCUUGAAAUGCAGGUGCAGCUGGACAUUCUCCUGAGCUAAAAGCAUAUUCAUUUAGUCCCGUCAAACGGAUUAUUACUUUUGCUGCAGCUAACAUAAAGGGAGUUUGACCGUAUUGGCUGACUGAUGCAGGAUUUCACAAGGGUCGGCAACGAUUCUUGUUAAACUCGAUCUCAAAUCAAGUAAGACUACCCGCUGAACUUAAGCAUAUCAAUAAGCGGAGGA